ensembl:lncRNA
GGUGAUUUUUCAAAUUUCAUGUCCCUUGAUUAAAGUAGAGGUCCAGUGCUUCUUUACUUCAAUUUUUUUCUUGUCCUCAUCGUGAAUUUCUUUUCUUUUCUUUUUUCUUUUUUGGUACCGGGGAUCGAACUCGAGUCCUUGCGCUUGCACAACAGGCGGCGAAACCACUGAGCUAAAUCCCCGGCCGAUCGUGAAUUUCUUACAGGUCUGGAGAUGGCCAUGUUGAUGUUCCCAUCUCCCAUCACAAUGCAAUUUGAGCAGGGGGCGCUUCUGACACACUCCACGGCUCUGGCUUUCUUAAACUUCUAACAGUGGAGGACAGGAUGUGUGCGAUUGUGUACUGAGGACAGCAGCCAACCUCACACCAGCAGUUUUCCAUCUUCGAAAGAUUCAAAGAUUCUGUCUCCAAAUACAGUCACAGCCCAAAGGACCGGAAGUUGGCUUUCAACACAUGCACUCUGAGGGACACAGUACAGCCCUCAGGGCUGUGAUCUGUAAUCGUCCUCCGCAUCCUCACCAACAGAAGCCACUAAGCUCGCGGUCGAGCAGCGGGGAAGGAGCGGGUAGACCAGCAGGCUCCCUUGCCCAACUCUCCCUGAUGAUGCACAGCUUGUUUCUCUGGGGUGUACCCCUGUUUACUCAUGUACCCC